CCGGAGCUGCUUUGCCAGGGCCGAGCCGCGGCGGGGCGUUGCUUGGGCGACGGCGUUUAGUGUCAGCGCCUCCCGGCUCCCUCAGGCGGCGGUCGGCCCUGGGGUGGUGCUCCGGCUGCGCGAUGGGGGCCCGGGUCUGGCAGGGGAACCCGCCCACCACCUCGGUACAGCCCUGCCUGCGAGGGGAGGAUGGAGCUGCGCCCGCCUCCUGCCCACGGAGCACAAGACAUAUAAUUCAUUACAAUCUCUGUACAGAAAAGGCUACUGGUAAAUGAAAAAUUCCAACUUGCGAAGGAAAACCCCUACUCUCCUUCCAGCUGAGGGAGUCAAAAAGGAAAAUCCCUGUCUGAAAAUGAGUAAGCAAAGAGCUCAGCUGUCAUAAAGGAAAGAGGAACAAAGGCAAUGGGUACUUUGACUUAAGCAGUUUCUUUUCAAGUUACCUUAAGUGACGUUAACGAAUAAAACUUGUUGCUGCUGUUUAGUUAAAUUGUGAAAGUUUGUUGCUCAUGUUUUAUUAAAAAAACCUAGGUUUGCCAGGGGGCGGGGAGAAACACACACACACACACCCACCCCCACCCAGAAGACCUAGCAAAGUUCACAGAAAGAUCUGUGAUUUUUUUAUUUAAACAUUUACCAAAUAGUGGAAAAAUUCCCUACUUUCUACCAAAUAUUCCUAAAACAAUAUCUGAAUACACACACUAUAUAGCCAGGAUUAUUAAACAAUGACAAAACUAGAGAUAAUUCUGGUGAUAUUUUGUUUUCUACUUUCUUUAUAUAUACACACCUAUUAAUUUCCAUAGAGUUUAAGGCCGGAAGGGACCAGUAGAUCAUCUAGUCCAGUGAUUGUCAACUGGGGUACCGUACAUGUACCCCUGGUGGUACUCAAAUCUUCCAGGGGGGUACAUGAACUCACUAGCUGAAAACAAAAAGCUAUUUUAUGAUGGACAAGCUCCCCCCACCACAAGCCUUUAUCUGUACUACAAAAACAGACCCACAAAAGGUUUAAGCUCUAGCAUAGUUGGGGGCUAUAGUGUAGUUAGCACACAAAUUUGUCCAAGUAACCUGCCAGCACAACCACAGUAGUUAAAACCAUUAAAAAAAAUAGCUGUGUAAUACCCAAAGAGACACAAUUGAAUCCAAUUAAUUUUGAGACUCAAGACACAGCACUGCACCACAAUUUAUCCUCAAGCACCAGUAACUAGAUCAGGAAUCUAAUCAUGGUAAGAGGCACGCUCAUAAGUCUGGACAUUCCUGCCAAAGCAGCUACUUAUCUCAGUAGCUGCCUGGUGGCAAAAGACACUAAUCAACUGUGAAGGAGAUAAACACUUUCUAAUCACUGGGUUGGUGAAGCAGUUACUGGGCAGUUGAUGUAAUUAAGCAACCUUUAAAAAGCCUUAAGACUGAAAUGUCAAUGAUCUCUCAUGCUUCAGGUGAUUUUUUGUUUGUUUGUUUUACUUCAGAUAUACAGAUGUUUUAUUUAUUAAAGCAUUUGGGACCAACCAACAAAAUUUCCCUUAGAGGAAUGAGAUAGAACAAGUUGCAU